UGGGGAAUAUUGCACAAUGGGCGCAAGCCUGAUGCAGCGACGCCGCGUGAGGGAUGACGGCCUUCGGGUUGUAAACCUCUUUCACCAGGGACGAAGCGCAAGUGACGGUACCUGGAGAAGAAGCACCGGCCAACUACGUGCCAGCAGCCGCGGUAAUACGUAGGGUGCGAGCGUUGUCCGGAAUUACUGGGCGUAAAGAGCUCGUAGGUGGUUUGUCGCGUUGUUCGUGAAAACUCACAACUCAAUUGUGGGCGUGCGGGCGAUACGGGCAGACUAGAGUACUGCAGGGGAGACUGGAAUUCCUGGUGUAGCGGUGGAAUGCGCAGAUAUCAGGAGGAACACCGGUGGCGAAGGCGGGUCUCUGGGCAGUAACUGACGCUGAGGAGCGAAAGCGUGGGGAGCGAACAGGAUUAGAUACCCUGGUAGUCCACGCCGUAAACGGUGGGUACUAGGUGUGGGUUCCUUCCUUGGGAUCCGUGCCGUAGCUAACGCAUUGAAGUACCCCGCCUGGGGAGUACGGCCGCAAGGCUAAAACUUAAAGGAAUUGACGGGGUCAUAGCUGUUUCC
rnacentral:rRNA from 1 species